rnacentral:lncRNA from 10 species
CUUUUUUUCAUUGACGGCUAUGGGGAAAGGGUCAGAGGUCAGGUCUCAAUCUGCAUUAGCUCAAAUGAGUUUCAAGAAGUCACUGUGGGGGGAAUAUGCCCCUUAUGAUGGGGAGCCCCACAUUUAAUCACUCCUCUGUGGCAGCAUUAACAGAGGUCUCAGGACCCACUCAUGAUGUUGAGAAACAGGACUCAGGGCAUUCAUUUUGCUUGUAUGAAUCAUAGCAGGAAUGGCACACCUCUGGAGCUCACAGCAGCAGUUUCUUGAUCGUGGUGGUUUCCUGAUGAUGGCAAUAACAACACAGUUCUGGAACCAGGAGCCUCUUGAUCACAUAAGAGGCAGCAGCUGCCCUGAUAGCCAGGUUCCAUGGGGCUCUUCCACCUUUGCUGCUGGGCACUUCUCCUUGCCUUGUGAAGAAAGUGCCUGCUUCCCCUUCUGCCAUGAUUUUAAGUUUCCUGAGGCCUUCCCAACCAUACAGAACUCAACAUGGUUGCAGCUGGAGGCCAUUAUCCUAAGAGAAUUGACACAGAAACAGAAAAUCAAAUACUGUAUGUUCUCACUUUUGUAAGUGGAAGCUAAACAUUGACAAUACAAGGACAUAAAGAUGGAAACAAUAGAGUUAGAAAAAAUGAAUAAGACUUACUAUUUGAUAACACAACAGGGCAACUAUAGUCAAUAAUAAUUGUACAUUUUAAAAUAACUAAGAGUAUAAUUGGAUUAUUUGUAAUACAAAGAAUGAAUACUUAAGGUGAUGGAUAUUACAUUUGCUCUGAUGUGAUUAUUAUUCAUUGCAUGCCUUUAUCAAAAUAUCUCAUGUAACCUGUAAAUAUAUACACCUACUAUGUACUCACAAAAAUUAAAAAUAAAAUUUUUUUUAAAAGAUGGAAACAAUAGACAGUGGGUACUAUUAGAGGAGGGAGGGCGUAAGGGAAGCAAAUGUUGAAAAACUACCUAUUGGGUGCUAUGCCCACUACCUGGGUGAUGGGAUCAUUUGUAUCUCAAGACCCCAAGACACAAUUUACCCAUAGAACAAAGCUGUGCAUGUAUCCCCUGACCUAAAAUAAAAGUUGAUAAAUGAAAAGAAAAUGGGCUGCUUUUAAUCUUUGCUUUCCUGCUAUAAUAUCCCAACCUCCACAUCCCUCACGCUACACAUAUGGAUGCAUCUGGCCACCUAAAACAGUCAUAUAUUAAAUCAUAUUAACAUAUUUUAAAGUAGCAUCUCUGUUGUAAAUAUUUAUAACUACUCCUUUAAGGUGAAUUCCCAGAAAUUAAAUUGCAUCAUGAACAUUUUUAACUCUGGAUACUUAUUUCAUAUCACUUCCUAAAGUGUUUUACUACUGUAUUUUCUGUCCGCAACGUAGGAUUUUUUCCUAGCAUUUAUCCAUUGCACUAUUACCCAAAAUAGGAAUCCUGACAAAGUAUCUUUUGCUAAUUUGUUAAUGAAUGACAGUCUUUUAUUGUUGUCUUGAU